UUCUCCUUUUCCUCAGGUGUUGCCAGUCCAAUUUCUGAGGCUUCUUUCUUUUCUUUCUCCUUUUCCUCAGGUGUUGCCAAUCCAAUUCCUCAGGCUUCUUUCUUUUCUUUCUCCUCUGCCUCAGGUGUUGCCAAUCCAAUUCCUCGGGCUUCUUUCUUUUCUUUGUCCUCUUCCUCAGGUGUUUCCAAGCCAACACCUCAGGCUUCUUUCUUUUCUUUCUGCUCUUCCUGUUUGUAAAAUCUUCUCUAGCAGUAUAAAAUUUAGCUCCCAUUAUCCUCAACGUAUUUAAUUAUUUACUUCAUCAAUUUGCCGUUGAAGAGCUGCCAUCAAGCUGCAUUCUCUGCCUCUCCCUGCUGCAGUCUGUAUCCAGGACUGGCUUGCUGACCUGUACCUCAGAGAAAGGAAGGAAAGAGAAGGGAAAAUAGAAACAGAAGCAAUGUGUGAACGAUCCAGUUGCUCUACGUCCUUGCCAGCAGUUAGUAUGGGUUGUUAGUGGACAUCAUCCGAGCAAAACUUGAAAAGUGCUUAUAUGACUGGGCUUACCUGUACAUGUUCCUGCUUUUACAUGAGAGGCACAUGCCUCCAAUAUAACCACUGGUCCAAGAAAGAUAGGAAAUACAUGGAGAAAACCUGGUUUCUAUCUGAAGUUUGGAGCCACCCCAACAAAAAAAAGCCUGAAGAAGGGGCACUCCAAGCCACUCAAAAACACAUGAGCAAGAAAUAAAUGCCUAUUGCUGAUGCCACUGAUAUGUUAUGGUUGUUUGUUAUUAUGCUGAAAAAACAGACAAUAAAAAUUAACAAUAAUUCCUUAAUAUCAAAUACACAGAAUGUUAACUAAAUGAUUUUUUAUGUACAGUUAUUUAUAGGUUUAGAGGUAAAAUUUGCAUAUGAUGAAAUGCAUAAAUUCUAAGUAUAUCAUUUAUUGAGCUUUGACAAAUGAUAUACAACUAUGUAACCCCAAACCCUGUCAAGAUACAGAACAUUACAUCUCUAGAGAAAGUUCCCUCAGGUCCCAUCCAAAUCUAUUCUCACCCACCACUCACCCCCUCAGGCAAACACUGUUUUUGUUUUCUAUACCACUAGAGAUUAGUUUUGCCUGCUUGAGUACUUUGUAUAAAUGGAAUCCUACAGCCUGUAUUUUUGUGUGAGGUUUCUUCAACUCAGUAUGUUUUUGAGGUUCAUCCAUGUUGCGUGUAUCAAUAGUUUGUUCCCUUUUAUUGAUGAGCAAUAUUCUAAUGUAUAGAUAUGCAGUGGUUUGUUUAGCCAUUUUCCUAUUAACAGACACAUGAGUUGAAUCCAUUGUUGGCUAAGCUAUGGUGCACAUUUUUAUAAGUCUUUUUAUAGAUAUAUAUUUUCAUUUCUCCUGGGAAAUUACCUGGUUGGGAAAUUUUUGAAUCAAAGGUUAGGUGUAUCUUUUGUUUUAUAGAAAAUGAUGGUUCCUGUUUCCAAAAUGAUCGUACCAUUUUACAUUCCUACUCACAGUGUCUAAGAGUUCUGGUUACUCCACAUCCUUGCUAAUAUUUGAUGUCAAUCUUCUUUACUUCGGCCUUUCUGGUGGGUAUGUAGUGGUAUUUCAUCAUGGUUUUAAUUUGCCUUUCCCACUUCCCUGAUGAUGUGGAAAGCUUUCCUUAUGUUUGUUGGUUAUUCAUGGAU
rnacentral:lncRNA from 1 species